CGAUAAUACGACAUCCCUAGCUCUGACAUCGAGUCGAAUUCCUUUGAAGGGUUUGACAGAUUUUCACUUAACUCAACGUGUUUCGCAGGUUUUGCUGCUAGUUAAAACAUGAGAGCAAAGUGGCGUAAGAAGCGUAUGCGAAGGUUGAAGCGUAAGCGUAGGAAGAUGCGUGCGAGGUCCAAGUAGAUUACUCGAUCCAAUCAUCCGUUCAUACUAAAGAAGGAUGAUUGACCCAUUAUUCGUUCGUAUUAAGCUAAUUGACUGUACUCGUGGCUGUGGGACUAUGUUGUCGAGCAUUUAAAGUACGUUGCGAUGGCUUGACUCGAGCUCAUUCGAGAACCUAAUAUGCUAAAUACAAUGAUGAUUAUGGAUUAA